AUUGGACAAUGGGGGCAACCCUGAUCCAGCCAUGCCGCGUGUGUGAAGAAGGUCUUCGGAUUGUAAAGCACUUUAAGUUGGGAGGAAUGGCUUUAGGCUAAUACCCUGAAGUUUGACGUUACCAACAGAAUAAGCACCCUCUAACUCUGUGCCAGCAGCCGCGGUAAUACAGAGGGUGGAAGCGGUAAUCGGAAUUACUGGGCGUAAAGCGCGGGGAGGGGGGUCAGUAAGAUUGGUGUGAAAUCCCCGGGCUUAACCUGGGAACUGCUUUCAUAACUGCUGAGCUAGAGUACGGUAGAGGGUAGUGGAAUUUCCUGUGUAGCGGUGAAAUGCGUAGAUAUAGGAAGGAACACCAGUGGCGAAGGCGACUACCUGGACUGAUACUGACACUGAGGUGCGAAAGCGUGGGGAGCAAAC
rnacentral:rRNA from 1 species